GGAGCAACGCGCAGAACCUUACCAACCCUUGACAUCCCAGGACAGCCCGAGAGAUCGGGUCUCCACUUCGGUGGCCUGGAGACAGGUGCUGCAUGGCUGUCGUCAGCUCGUGUCGUGAGAUGUUCGGUUAAGUCCGGCAACGAGCGCAACCCACACUUUCAGUUGCCAUCAUUCAGUUGGGCACUCUGGAAGAACUGCCGAUGAUAAGUCGGAGGAAGGUGUGGAUGACGUCAAGUCCUCAUGGCCCUUACGGGUUGGGCUACACACGUGCUACAAUGGUGGUGACAGUGGGUUAAUCCCCAAAAGCCAUCUCAGUUCGGAUUGGGGUCUGCAACUCGACCCCAUGAAGUUGGAAUCGCUAGUAAUCGCGUAACAGCACGACGCGGUGAAUACGUUCCCGGGCCUUGUACACACCGCCCGUCACACCAUGGGAGUUGGGUCUACCCGACGGCCGUGCGCUAACCCUUACGGGAGGCAGCGGACCACGGUAGGCUCAGCGACUGGGGUGAAGUCGUAACAAGGUAGCCGUAGGGGAACCUGCGGCUGGAUCACCUC
rnacentral:rRNA from 1 species